CUCUCUCUCUCUCUCUCUCACACACACACACACACACACACACACACACUGUAGUAAGUACAGAAAUUAAUCAAAUAUAAGUGAAUAAAUUUAUCAGUUCUUUCUAAGAUCAACCAUGAACUCUAUGAUUCUCAGACCCAGUAUAUGGAAACUAUAUGUAAGUUGGCUCCUAAAAUUGUGACUCUCUCUGACUUGAGACCUAACAUGGGCAGAGUUCUUAGAAGAAAGAAAGAAUCUCUUCCAUUGUUCUAUUUGCUUAUUAAGAUUUUGUCUUUUUCAAAUAUCUUCCUUAUGCAGACUUUUCUGCUUUGUUUGAGAUAAGAUUUUCUAGGUAGCCUGUGCUGGCCUGGAAUUCACUGUUACCCAGGAUGACCUUGAGCUCAUGGUCCUUCUUUUUCUCCACGAAUGGAAUUACAUGGAAUUACAGGUGUAAUUAUACUGCUUCAUGUACUGGGUUCCCAACUUUGUGUGAAGUUCUACCUUUGAGAAAAACUUUUGUGUGGUCCAUGGACACAAUUUUUUCUUUGUUUUAUUGUAUCAAAGUACUCCCUAAUAGUCUUUUCCUGUGAAUACAUGUCAUUUGUAAGCUAUGGGCUCCUAAGCAGUGUUGAAUCUAUAUUCACUUCUUCCUGAUGCAUAGCAGCUCUGGUUUAUAAGCAAGUAAGAGAGUAAAUUUCUCUCUAUUUCAAUGAAGUUAAAAUAUAAAGCCUUGACUAUCAGACAUGAAUCAUAAUACUGCUUAGACUAAUAUAUUAUUUGAGUAUAUCAAAUGCUGCAUCGAUUAAUCUUAAUCAUUUCUAUUCUUUUAAAAUAUCAACAGUUAAAAAUUGCAUAUCUUAUUAUUAAAAAUGGUUUGAGCUGAGAUGUAAUCUCUCAAAUGAUGGAAUGAAAAUAAGAACAGGAUAAGGCAGAGAACCAUUUUUCUUCCUAAAAACUUGAAAUAAAUUGAGAUGUAAAAAAAGUUACACAUUGUUAAAUAAAUCAGAGGUCUUAUGACGUCUCUAAUAUUUUAUAACAGGUUUUUGACUUGAUUUAUGUAUUUAAAAUAACUAGCAAGGUAUUCUUUAAAUGCUAAAACAUAAAUUACAAAUGGAAAGCCUUGGUUUAUGUAAAUGGUGGAUGAUGUGUGGGAUGUGGCAAGUGAUUGCUGAGUUCUGCAGUAUUCCCAAGAUGGGGCGAUAGGGCCACAAAGUACAGGAGAAAAUGCUGCCUUAGGCUCCAUUUGUUGACUCAUAGGUGCAGGCUGUCUUCCAGGAAGUGAUAGAAUCUUGAUGGGAACUUUCACUUGUGUUUCAGAUAUCCAGAUUUUAGUGAAAGCUGCUGGACAGGUCUCAGCAACUCCAUGUCACUGUGGCAGACCAGAUGUGUGCAGAAGUCUGCAAGGAGAGUGUAGAACUUGGAACAGAUUGUCUUCUUAGGUGCACACAGGCUGACACUCGAUGGACACAUGCCAUUGAAAUAAACCGGGACUAACUACUUUGUGUCUCCCAGAGCCCUUCCUGUGCCUGCCCCUCUUCCUCUUCCACUCAAGAAAUCAUGUUAGCAGGUGGACCUGUCUCCCUGAGGGAAGGAAAGCAGUGGGAGAUCUUCAGGCUGAGCCAGGACAACAGGAAUUGUGCAGCUUCAAGCCUAAGCUUUCCAGAGGCGCCCCAAGGUUGCAGACAACACAGAUUCUGGCUAGAAUUUAUUGGAUGAACAGUCAGAUCCUGAAAUUUAGGAGUUGAAGCAGCAAGCAGUUUGAUGAUACAAGUCGUGGAUCUCUGGGGCCUCAGAAGCAGAUUGUUAUGGAUCUUCCUCUGGAAUGUUGAUGCCUUUAUUUCUCAUUUUUAGUGACCUGUCAUCAGUUGCCAGGAAGACAGGGCUGUGUCCCACAGCAUGGACACUGAUAUCAUUUCUCUGAUUCAGGAAUACUUCACAGGGAAAAGGGAAUGUUGGGAGACUAAUAUAUUUUAAAGUUUCUUUUUUUAUUUUAUUUGAAAUAUUUAUGUAGUAUAGAAAAACUAGUUUUAGAGAUGACAAAUGUUAUUAAUUUAGAUGACAGUUUACCAUAAAAGAGAGACAUAAGAAAUAUUUAUGUGCUGGGCAGGAGGCAUAACUCAGUGGUAGAAUGCUUGGCUAGCAUGCAUGAGGCCCUGGGUUCAAUCCCAAGAAAACUUCCUUCCCCCAAAAAA